UACAGAGGUCCCAAGCGUUGUUCGGAUUCACUGGGCGUAAAGGGUGCGUAGGUGGUCGGGUAAGUCUGAUGUGAAAUCUCCGGGCCUAACCCGGAAACUGCAUCGGAUACUAUUCGGCUAGAGGGUUGGAGGGGGGACUGGAAUACUUGGUGUAGCGGUGAAAUGCGUAGAUAUCAAGUGGAACACCAGUGGCGAAGGCGAGUCCCUGGACAACUCCUGACACUGAGGCACGAAAGCUAGGGGAGCAAACAGG
rnacentral:rRNA from 1 species